rnacentral:rRNA from 1 species
UACGGAGGGUGCAAGCGUUACUCGGAAUUACUGGGCGUAAAGCGCACGCAGGUGGCUGAGUCAGUCGAUUGUGAAAGCCCUGGGCUUAACCUGGGAAUUGCAGUCGAUACUACUCAGCUAGAGUAUGGGAGAGGGCAGUGGAAUUCCCGGUGUAGCGGUGAAAUGCGUAGAUAUCGGGAGGAACAUCAGUGGCGAAGGCGGCUGCCUGGCCCAAUACUGACACUCAGGUGCGACAGCGUGGGGAGCAAACAGG